CAGCAGCCGCGGGAAUACGAAGGGUGCAAGCGUUAAUCGGAAUUACUGGGCGUAAAGCGUGCGUAGGCGGUGAGUUAAGUCUGCUGUGAAAUCCCCGGGCUCAACCUGGGAAUGGCAGUGGAUACUGGCUCGCUAGAGUGUGUCAGAGGAUGGUGGAAUUCCCGGUGUAGCGGUGAAAUGCGUAGAGAUCGGGAGGAACAUCAGUGGCGAAGGCGGCCAUCUGGGACAACACUGACGCUGAGGCACGAAAGCGUGGGGAGCAAACAGGAUUAGAGACCCCCGUAGUCCCUGUCUCUUAUAA
rnacentral:rRNA from 1 species